UCCUGACCUUGAGAGAACCACUAUCCUCAGCCUCUUUAAUAGUAGUAAUUACAUGCAAGUACCACAGAGAGCCCAGCUUUAUUAUUUUAUUUAAUCAUUGCCAAAUGAUAUUUGAUGACUUUCUGAUGCUUUAUACUUUGAAGUUUGGUCAUGUUGGAUGUGCACUAGUUCAGCUACAAAGAGGGUUAGUGAUCUCCAUUGAGGUAUGACUUCUAAGCUCUUUCUUGAGAGUGAUGAUAGGAUAUCCCAUCUUUUCUUGAGAAUAUGUAACCGUAGAAUGGGUCACCAGUUGAAUAUACCAAUCUCCCUCUCCAGACUGGCUCAUAUAAGUAUCUCAAGUAUGAUUGUCCUUCCAGGUUGAUUGAGUUAGCAGUUUGAUACCUCCCAAAUUCUCUCUAAUCUAUAGAGAUAGUUUCCCUUAGGGAUUUUCUUUUACUUUUCUCCACUUGUCUCUCAUUUGGACAGACUCUUUGUGUCCCAGGACCAUCAGAAGGAAAUAACAAGAAUCUUUAAGCAGGUGGUUUCUUUAUUCUCUUCUUUACUUCUAAAAUUCAGUCUCAAGCAGGAAUAGUCUUAGUGCUCAAGAAUGUAAUUCAUUUUCUGAAGAAAGUAUAUAGUUCUAGCAUUUUGUGGAAGAGAACAAUUGUGUCAGCCAAUUAAGAGCAAACGAAUUCAGAUCAAUAAGGGAAUACUAUAUAUAGUAAGACAACAUAUUAUUCAAAGCUAUAUUUCAAUCUUUCCAUCAAAGAGAUAUCCAUAUUGCUGGAAGCAUACUUUAAUGCAAUAUGAGAAAACACCAAUAAACAAUUACUGAGAUCAUAUGUAAAAUGUUAACUGCUAGUCUCAUCAUGAUUCUUAAUAGAAAUUUGCUAGCGUGAGGAAACUAUCUCAAAAAUUCUCCAUAAUUGUAACUGUUCAGUGGUUUCUGCUUAGCUGGGAUGUUUUACCUCAGUACCAAAGUCCCCAGGUAGAGCAGGUGGGUGAGUGGGAAGCUUGAACACUGCCUCUCUUUUGAACUCUGUCUACAUAUUUGACAAAUGCUAAACUGAAUAAUCCAUUAGCCAGCCAUUGAAAGAAAUAUUUUACUUUCAAUGAUGAUUGGAACAGAUAAGAAAGCUGUUUAUUUCUAGUAUCAUCUUGCCUAAUCGAAAAGAGGGGGAAACAAUGGAUAUCAUAUCCCUCUAGGCUCAUUUUAGUCUGCCUCCCCCCCCAAAUUGUUUUCAUAUCUUUCCUCAGCUUUAAUAGCUGAGUUUCUAAUGCUUCCUGCUGGUAAGACAGAAAAACAGAGCUGGUAAAGUAGCUGGGAACCAGCAGAGAGUCUGUGCUGUUUUUUCUCCCUGACAAUGUCAGUAUUCUUUUUUUAUUCAACAACUGAAAGCAGUGUAAAAGGAAUGGACUUCCCUUGAAAUUUCUAGGUCUAGUGUGUCAUAUGAAAAGAUUCCCUAUGACCUUUGGAAAGGUGACACCAACUAUUUUUCCCCCUAGCACAAGCAAGACAAACUGUGCUCUGGGAAAGACACUAAAUAUGCCCUCAAUGGGAGCAUUUAUCAUAUGGUAUCUGUUAAAUUAAUCAAUUAUGUUAAUAAUUCUUUUAAAAAAUUUACCUUAUCUCAUUCUGUCUCCUCCAAAAAAUUUCCUCCUUUAUUAUCUUAUCCUUUAAUCCUUUCUCACUUAUUUUCAGUCUCUCUCUCUCAUGACUGCCUACAAACAUACCCAUCCUCAAAAAGAAGCUCCCUCUCUUGGCCCAUGCAUCUCUCUGCUAGUUAUCACUAUCACAUCUGUUCUCCAUUUUGUGGCUCAACUACUCGAGGAGGCCACCUGCAAAAGAUGCUUCUACUUUCCUUUCCCUUUAUCCAUUUUAUAUCUCACACUUCUCUAUUUCUUGUUUUUUUCAUAAAUUCUGCUUCUAUCCAUAAAUUUGAUUGGCAUUAUGGUCCCUGCUCUAAUUUGCUUAUGAUAAUUCCCUUUAUGUCUAGAUCAUAUAUCCAUUUUCAUCUUAUCUUGAUAAAUGGUAUAUCCUGUAGACAUCUCAAACUCAACUUGUCCAAAACUGUAUUCACAAUGUUUUCCCCCAAACCCUCCUCUCUUCUUAAUAUUCCUAUUACUUUUGUGGGUACCAUUGUUCUCUAAUCCCCCAGGCUCUCAAUUCAGAUGCCAUCCUUGACUUCUCACUCUCUCUUAACUCCCUUAUUCAAUUUGUUGCUAAGUUGAUUUUUACCUUGAAAAUAUCUCUCACAUUUGCUCCCCUCUCUUCACCGACAUUUCCACAAUUAUGGUGGAGGCCACAUCAUUUCAUGCCUAAACUAUUGAAUUCCCUGACAACAAAUCUCUCCCAAUUCCAGUCUAUUUUUAACCCAGCUGCCUAAAUGAUAUUCCUAAAGCACAGGUCUGACCACAUGCUCCCACUCCCUCCUUACACUCAAAUGUCUAUCACUUCUAGGAUCAAAUGGAAAGUUUUCUCUUUGAUAUUCAAAGUCCUUUAUAACACAUCCUUUUUCCACGUUUCUAGUUUUCUUCCACUUUAUUCUGCCUUCUACUUAUUCUCUACCUCCCUUUACUCUGCAAGCCAGUAAUACUGGCUUUUUUUUUUCUGCUUGCCUCAGAGGACACUCCAUCUCCCAAAUCUGGACAUUGUCACUGACUGUCCUCCAUGCCUGGAAUGCUCUCCCUUCUCAUCUCCUGGCUUCCCUGGUUUCCUUCAAGGAUCAGUUAAAAUCUAACCUUCUAGACAAAGCCUUUUCCAAAACCUUUUAAUGUGAAUGCCCUUUCUCUGUUAAUUAUCUCCCAUUUAGCCUGUUUAUAACUUGUCUGAAUAUAGUGGUUUGGAUUCUUAUAUUGGAUAAGAGGUUGGACAAGAACCUGAAUAAGAUCACAUCCAAAUCAAUCAAAAUCUCAUGAAUCUGUUAGAUAGGAUAGAGAUUAGAUCUAUCAUUUAUUGAUAAAGCAUAACAUUUUGAACAGAAUUCAAAGCUAGUAGUUCAGAUAUAGGAUAUGAAGGAAUAUCUUCCUAUCUCUGAGGCAAAUUCUCUGUCUGACAUUCCAUUCUGACUCUUAGCCCAUCAGAAGCCAUUAAAAAAUCUUUAGAGAAAGCAGAAAUGCAAUACAAUUUAACUCUUUGAUCAAGCCCAAUUUUCUUGUCUUGAACAGUAUGUGGGAAUUGGCCAUAGUAAAGCAAAAUCUGUCAGCCUCCCAGGGAGAUGAAAAACUCUAUUUAUUUCCUCAUAUAAUUGCAUAGUGUAACAGAAAGAUUGGGUUUUCUUCAUUUGUUUUUUUUCACUUUUAAUUCCCUCUGGAUUUGUGGUAUGUCACAGUGCCACCGUAUGGACAAUAGACUGAAGUGUACAGAGAAGAAUAUCUCCCAGUAGGGAACUAAGUAUGGUAAUCUCUGGAGGGAAUUGGCCAAAAAAAAAAAAAAGCCAAAGGAAGAAAAAAGGGAUAACUUUCUAAAAUAUAGCUUUUACAACUGGCACAUUUCCUUUUGGUAUAUGUGAAAAAAUACCUACAAAAGAAUCACUAUGAAUUUAUUUUUUUUAAAUUUUAAAUAAAAACAUAUAAAACAAAUAAUAAUUAACACAUAUUUCAUUACAUUUAACAUAUGGUACAUAAUUCAUCUCAAGAAUUGCAGUUCUUUAUAAUUUUCAUAUAUACUAACUCCCAAUUUGAUAUGCAUAUUCCUUCUCAUUUCUGGGAGUUAAGACAUUUUAAUUUCCAUAUUAAAACUGUCUUUUUCACAUGGUAUAAUGGAUUAAGCAUCAGAGAACCUGUGUUUGAAUUCUGACUGCUAUUUAUUACCUGUUGACUUUGGGUAACUCAUAAUGUUUCUGGGCUUCAGUUUCUUCAUCUAUAAAGAGAUUAAAUGACUUCUAAGAUCCCUUCUAAUUAAAUUUUAUGCUUCUCUACGUGGCAUGGUCAGAAUUUUGUAAUUUACACAUGAAUCAAUCUGCCAUCUUUUGUGUCCUGACUAGGGGAAACACAGUAGAAACAGGCCCUGUUUAGAAGAGUUUAAUAUGUUCAGCUCAUUCACAGAUGAAUUUGGAUUCCUCCAAGAAAUAGAAAACUGGACAUAGGAUUGUGGAAGCCAGAGAAAACUCGUCAGACUUGUUCUGAAAGUGGGGCCACUUUUGUUUGUGUUUGGUUAAUGCAUCCUUUUGGAGUAAUUUUAAUUGGAAACUUACUACAAUAUUUUAUUAGUCUAUGCUUUCAAAGAUGAGGGCAACCUCUCCAUUGUUGCAGAUCCCCAAAACUUCAAAUUUAAGUAGAUGGCUUAAUGAGUUGCUGUGGCCAAAAAAAAAAAAAAUCUCUUCUCUCCUAGCAAAUCUUCAGUUUCUGAGCUUAUCUGAAUUUAUCUCUACUGGUUUUUAGAUGAAGGAUCCAGUCUAUCUCUAGGUUUAUAUUGGGAAUUUCUCCAACCUAGUUAGUCCUAUCAAAAUUUGCAUUUUGUGAGCAAAGACUUAAAAAAACCCAGUUACCUCCACAUUGCCAUGAGGCAUGGGGACAUUUAGUGGUUCCAAUAUACUCAGAAUAAAAUUAUUUAAUAGUAUUAUAGCACUUGAUUGUUAUGAAGCACUUUUCAUACUAUCUUAUUUGAUUCUCAAAAGAGCCCCCUCUCACUUAUAUUAUUGUUAUUUUUUUACAGAUGAGAGAACUGAGACUUAGAGUGAUUAGAAUUAAGAACAGAACUAAAAGGUGCCUGGAUGGGUAAAGCAGCCUAAAUUCUGAGCUCUGAAGCUGUGAAUUGAGGGCACAUGACAACAUCAUCACCAUCGUGGGGUGCUGGUGGAAGGGGGAACAACCUAGUUUUGGUGGCAUAGAAGAUUGACUUCACAAUUUUGCUUGGAAACUUAGUUUAUCUCCAUCUUUGUGCUGGACCACUGGAAACCUAUAAUCAGAAUCACUUGGCAUCUUGCCUGUCUCCCCGUUCAUAUCUCUUCAUGGACUGUGGUGGCAAGCUUUACAGAUUUGUAACUCAAUAGACAGUGAAGAGAGCACUUGAGGCCCAAGACUUGUUAUUGGAUGCUUCCAUUUUUUUCAAGAAUUCUUAAAAAAAAAUCCUUGCUGAGAACCAAAACAUUAUUGUCUCUACCAGCUUCAAAGCAAAAUGACUCUGAAGAUCCAUUGGAGAAAUCUACUGUUGGAGAAUGAAUGUGAACAUAUUCUGCAUUCUCCUUUUUUUUUCACAACCAUUGUUGUUCAUUCCAUUGUAUUUACUCUUCACAUCUGGUGCUUUCACAAAGUGUAAAAUAACCUAUAACCACAGAGUACCAUUAUUUGAUUGGUUUGGCUUGAAAAGAAACUAAACUAUGAAAUGUCUCUCGUGUAAUGAUGGAUUCAUCUACAUUGACACUCUGCUUUGGAAUGCAUUAAGAGAUCUAGCAAAUUCAAAUCAUAAAAUGGAAUUAUUCUUUUUAAAAAAUCUAAGCAUGUUUUACAAUAUCGAACAAUAAUAUGCUUCUUUGAUUGAAAUAAUGGAACCCAAACCACCAUUGUAGAAUCGCUAAAACAAGUUGAACUCCUAAUUGGACACUUGAUCUUGGUGAAACUUUGUAAAAGAUUUUCUGACUGAUUGCUUUGCACCUCUUCAAUGUUUGUGGAUUUGGAAAGUAUAUCACUUUGUCCUAAGCAGCUGUUUGAAAUCAGGGAUAAGCAAUUUAGUAAGUUAUUGUUGUUAUUGUUAUGUAACACUCUAUCCACUUUGCCACCUAGCUGCCCCAACAACAGAUGAAUGGAUGUGUGCACAUACAAUGCAUAUAAAUAUGCUUAUAUGUUUAUAUAUGCAUAUAGUUAUUAUAUAUAUGAUCUUUGUCACAUAUAUUCUAUAGAUGAUCAUUUAAGGAGGCAGCAUAAUUACUAAGGGUCAGUUUAUUUGUAUAAUUAAUGUAAACACACAAUAAAAUACAGACACACAUCUACAUACCAACAUAGUAAGUAUUUAACACAUUCUUUUAAAAUUAUAUUUCCUAUUUUUUGAGUUAUUAUAUAUAUAUAUAUAUAUAUAUAACCCAAUGGAAUUGCUUGUCAGCUCUGGGAGUGAGGAGGGAAGGGAGAAGGGAGACACCAUGAAUCAUAUAACUUUGGAAAAUUUAUGUGUAAAUUUGUUAUUGGAAUAAAAUAAAGAUAAAAAAUGUAAACAUAAUAAAAAAAUAAAAUCUCCCUCCCCUAUUACCUUUUG